AAGAGGGCCCAAAGAACUGCUAACUCGUGUACCUGAGAUUAACACUUCAGAACUCUUU
rnacentral:tRNA from 1 species